CCUACGGGAGGCAGCAGUAAGGAAUAUCGGUCAAUGGGCGCAAGCCUGAACCAGCCAUGCCGCGUGAAGGAUGACGGCCCUAUGGGUUGUAAACUUCUUUUGUACGGGAAUAAACCCAGGUACGUGUACCUGGCUGAAUGUACCGUAAGAAUAAGGAUCGGCUAACUCCGUGCCAGCAGCCGCGGUAAUACGGAGGAUCCAAGCGUUAUCCGGAUUCAUUGGGUUUAAAGGGUGCGUAGGCGGACUUAUAAGUCAGUGGUGAAAUCCUGCAGCUUAACUGCAGAACUGCCAUUGAUACUGUAAGUCUUGAGUGUGUUUGAAGUGGGCGGAAUGUGUCAUGUAGCGGUGAAAUGCUUAGAUAUGACACAGAACACCGAUUGCGUAGGCAGCUCACUAAACCACAACUGACGCUGAGGCACGACAGCGUGGGGAUCAAACAGGAUUAGAUACCCUGGUAGUCCACGCCGUAAACUAUGAUUACUCGAUGUUGGCGAUAUACAGUCAGCGUCUAAGCUAAAGCGUUAAGUAAUCCACCUGGGAGUACGGUCGCGAAGAUUGAAAUCAAAUGAAUUGACGG
rnacentral:rRNA from 1 species